GAUAAAUUAUGUGGUCUAAGGAGUUUGAAUAUCAAAGUAUCCUUAGUGUUUACCAGACUGGUUGAACAAAAUGACGAGCUUUGUGACGUUUUUAGUUCUUGUGGUUCUUGCUUAUUCUCAGGCAGCUCCAGCUACAAACAGCGGUAUUGCGCAUUCUUCGGGCGGCAGUGUUGCAGUGGGUAUCGUGGAAGGCUCGACUUUCGGCGAAGGAGCGUUUACCAUCACAAGAACCGAAGGAAAUAAUAACAACAGUGAUAAACCAUGCGGACUUUUAAAGUACAUUUCAAUAUUUGUGCCCAGUGUUAAAUGCUGACAGGGAACAUCAAGAUAUGGAUGCAAAAUGUGAAAUAAAUAUUUUUGUUAUAUAAUAAGUAGUACCUAACUAUGUAUAUUAAAUAACUAUUCGAAAG